GUGCUUGCUUCAGCAGCAUAUAUACUAAAAUUGGAAGAAUAUAGAGAUUAGCAUGGCCCUUGUGCAAGGAUGACAUGCAAAUUCUUGAAGCGCUCCAUAUUUUU